rnacentral:siRNA from 1 species
CGAAACCCAACCGACCUGGGUUGA